rnacentral:rRNA from 1 species
GAUGAACGCUGGCGGCGUGCCUAAUACAUGCAAGUCGAGCGAACGGACGAGAAGCUUGCUUCUCUGAUGUUAGCGGCGGACGGGUGAGUAACACGUGGAUAACCUACCUAUAAGACUGGGAUAACUUCGGGAAACCGGAGCUAAUACCGGAUAAUAUUUUGAACCGCAUUGUUCAAAAGUGAAAGACGGUCUUGCUGUCACUUAUAGAUGGAUCCGCGCUGCAUUAGCUAGUUGGUAAGGUAACGGCUUACCAAGGCAACGAUGCAUAGCCGACCUGAGAGGGUGAUCGGCCACACUGGAACUGAGACACGGUCCAGACUCCUACGGGAGGCAGCAGUAGGGAAUCUUCCGCGAAGGGCGAAAGCCUGACGGAGCAACGCCGCGUGAGUGAUGAAGGUCUUCGGAUCGUAAAACUCUGUUAUUAGGGAAGAACAUAUGUGUAAGUAACUGUGCACAUCUUGACGGUACCUAAUCAGAAAGCCACGGCUAACUACGUG